CCCCUAGACGUUCUGGGCUGCACGCGCGCUACAAUAAUACGCACAGCGAGUAUCACCGAGCUCGAAAGGGCAAGGUAAACAAUAGAAAAGGUACUGUAAUGGUUAUAGAUCCUUGUAAUUAUUGAUCUUCAACGAGGAAUUCCUAGUAAGUAUGUGUCAUCAUCACGCACUGAUUACGUCCCUGCCCUUUGUACACACCGCCCGUCGCUCCUACCGAUUGAGUGAGCCGAUGAAACUGCCGGAUGUGGACUAUUCAUAGUCUGCAGAAGAUAUUUGAAUCGUNGNGCUUAGNGGAAGGAGAANUCGUANCA
rnacentral:rRNA from 1 species